GUGGGGAAUAUUGGACAAUGGGCGAAAGCCUGAUCCAGCCAUGCCGCGUGAGUGAUGAAGGCCUUAGGGUUGUAAAGCUCUUUCAGUAGGGAAGAUAAUGACGGUACCUACAGAAGAAGCCCCGGCUAACUUCGUGCCAGCAGCCGCGGUAAUACGAAGGGGGCUAGCGUUGUUCGGAUUUACUGGGCGUAAAGCGCACGUAGGCGGUUUGUUAAGUCAGAGGUGAAAUCCCGGAGCUCAACUCCGGAACUGCCUUUGAUACUGGCAAGCUAGAGUCCGGAAGAGGUAAGUGGAACUCCUAGUGUAGAGGUGGAAUUCGUAGAUAUUAGGAAGAACACCAGUGGCGAAGGCGGCUUACUGGUCCGGAACUGACGCUGAGGUGCGAAAGCGUGGGGAGCAAACAGGAUUAGAUACCCUAGUAGUCC
rnacentral:rRNA from 1 species